UGCGAAGGGUCACCGAGAAUCUGCACUAUACGGCUUUUGACUUGUGAUCUUGGCUGCCUCCUCAGGUCAUUAAGAGAUAAACAGGGUGAUCAACUGCUCAUUCCGUCCGGCUAGCCGGCGUCGACUCCGUUCCCCCGUGUGAAACGGAACCAACCGGCUAUGGAAAGAGGCCCAGUGGCCCGUACCCAGCCCAAUGCCCACUUUCCUCGCUCCGGCACAUGAAUCAACACCGCAGAGGUCGCCGCCGCCUUUCCGCUUCCGAACUCCGGGCCCUCCUCCGCGGUUGCCGCUGGCGGCGCCCUCAUGAGCCAUUCCCGCUCUGCCAGAUUCACCUUCGGCCAACGUUGGCUGUUGCCAUUAUGGCACAAUCCCGUCAAUUUUCGCAGUGUCUCCCAGUGUUAUUUUCUUCAUUGUAGUGCUGGGUAUCUUGGAGAUAAACCAGCAUUUUUUCUUGCAUGAAACUGCUCUUGCUGAUGGCGUUGCAGAAGUUUUUGGACCCAGAUCACAUGUGCAGCUGGAUAAAAUGACAGAAGUAUACCCAGUUCAUGCAAAUGUGCUACAGUGUCAGAUUGCCCGACUUAUGUAUCCAGUAUAUUCAACUUAUGUUUAUAUAUCUACGCACAAUAUAAUUGUGUACCCUGUUUUAGUUAUUUAAACGUAUGGCAAUUUUUUUUUCUUUUGAUCGAUUAGCUUUCCUUAAUAAAACCAGCCACAUAUUUUGUUUCUGUUGAACCUUUCCUGCGGUUUUCCUAUGAAGUUGGUUGUUUCAAUUCUUCCUUUGGCAGCUGAAUAAAAGACUAGAGAUCAGUCCUGCUAGAGAUAGUAGUUAUUGACAACUCUGUGCAUGACUUGGCCUAUUAGCUACUACGUACUAGUUUGAUCUUUUCUGAAGUACUCAACCACACCCUUUCCAUAUCCCUCAUUACCUUUACACUAGUGGGUUAUCAAAACAAGAACCAGCGGCUCUGGUUUUGACCUGGUCUGUUUCUGCAGGAGCAACCAAGCAACUGAAAUACUGGAUGAUCUACAUAUAUUUGUCAAAGCUGCUGAAGAUCACCGUCAGGCAAGGCAAUGCAUAUUUCCCAAUGUUACUCCUUCAGAAACAUACAGGGUUCAUUCUCCUCUCUGGCGGCGAGCACUGAGCAAGGCGCACUCGGAUCACCGAAAUUAUAUGCUUCUCCUUUUAUAUUUACACAUAACGGCUGGUCCAAUACAGGGUCCGCACGCGUGACCUCCUGCUGCAAAAGACGAUCAUCACUAUUGAGGAAGUUAGCUGCCCUGUUGACUAGUGGGCAUCUUAUCAAAACAAGAACCAGCAGCUCUGGUUUUGACCUGGUCUGUUUCUGCAGGAGCAACCAAGCAACUGAAACACUGGAUUCAAUCCAUGCAUUGAGAACAAGCAAGUGCGUGGGUGUUUGCCCUAUGCCUGGGCGCUCCACGAUAGUCACCUGGCGCGCGUCGACUGGGCCUCGCUUGGUCUCCACCGUCUGGCGAAAGGUGGGCCCCGUCUGGCGGAAAACGUGUAGCUCUUGUUUCUCUCACACAGCCCCCGCAUCCUCCGAAACCCUACCCUCUCGCGUCACAUUUUUUGGCGGCGGCGGCGGCGGCUCCCCAGGCGCUCCUCUUCCCCGCGUUCUCACCAAGCCUCUCCAGGCCACAAGCGGAUCGGAGUCUCUCCAAUACAUGGCGUCUCUCCCCGCGAAGAAACCCUAGAUGUGGCGGCGGUCUGAUGCGGGAGGUGCUACGCCCGCCAUGGUCAUUGGCGGACGGAGCUCUAGAGGCAGCGGUAGCUCGACAUCAACGGCGACGGCGGCCGGACAUGGAAGAAGGACGCGACCGAACUUAGAGAACGACCGGCGGAGAGAACAUGCUCCAUCCCAUGACCCGCGCCGCUGCUCUAACCACUGCUUCGGCAGCUGCUGCUGGUUCAUCUACUUGACCGGGCCGCUGCAGCUCCAACCCAUGAAAACAAGUUACGGUGAAGUCAAAGAAUAAGGAGAAAGAAAAAUCAGAGAAGGAGGCAUCAUUGCAGUUAAAAUUAUGUCAUGUGUUUAUUUUCUUCUUUUCAGAGAUAUUUUUUCUUGUCUGAGUCGACUAUUCAGCAAGGUCAAAUUACAUAAUACUAUCUGAAUUUUUAACAUGUGGUAUGGUGUUUGCCUGUGCAUAACAUCGUAUAUAAUAAUAAAGCUACUAAACUGAUAAACAGAUGUAUGUUUUAUCUUCUCCUUUUCC